rnacentral:rRNA from 1 species
AUUGAACGCUGGCGGCAUGCUUUACACAUGCAAGUCGAGCGGCAGCGCGGGGCAACCUGGCGGCGAGCGGCGAACGGGUGAGUAAUGCAUCGGAACGUGUCCCGUAGUGGGGGAUAACCCGGCGAAAGCCGGACUAAUACCGCAUAUGCCCCACGGAGGAAAGGGGGGGAGCCGCAAGGACCUCUCGCCAUGGGAGCGGCCGAUGUCCGAUUAGCUUGUUGGUGAGGUAAUGGCUUACCAAGGCGACGAUCGGUAGCUGGUCUGAGAGGAUGAUCAGCCACACUGGGACUGAGACACGGCCCAGACUCCUACGGGAGGCAGCAGUGGGGAAUUUUGGACAAUGGGGGCAACCCUGAUCCAGCCAUGCCGCGUGCGGGAAGAAGGCCUUCGGGUUGUAAACCGCUUUUGUCCGGAAAGAAAAGGCGCCCCCUAAUACGGGGCGUUCUUGACGGCACCGGAAGAAUAAGCACCGGCUAACUACGUGCCAGCAGCCGCAGUAAGAC